rnacentral:rRNA from 1 species
AACGAACGCUGGCGGCAGGCCUAACACAUGCAAGUCGAACGCCCCGCAAGGGGAGUGCAGACGGGUGAGUAACGCGUGGGAACGUACCCUUCGGUUCGGAAUAACCCGGGGAAACUCGGGCUAAUACCGGAUACGUCCGCAAGGAGAAAGAUUUAUCGCCGAAGGAUCGGCCCGCGUCGGAUUAGCUAGUUGGUGGGGUAAUGGCCCACCAAGGCGACGAUCCGUAGCUGGUCUGAGAGGAUGAUCAGCCACACUGGGACUGAGACACGGCCCAGACUCCUACGGGAGGCAGCAGUGGGGAAUAUUGGACAAUGGGCGAAAGCCUGAUCCAGCCAUGCCGCGUGAGUGAAGAAGGCCUUAGGGUUGUAAAGCUCUUUCAGCGGGGAAGAUAAUGACGGUACCCGCAGAAGAAG